UUCCAAUCGUUUGCUUAUUAGAAAUUCCAAGAAAUAUAGCAUUAGCAAGGAUGAUAAGCUUCUACUUGUAGAAAAAGUUAUAAAUUUGUUCGAUAAACAAAUAAAUUCUAGGAAAUAUUGCUACGAGCCUGGAAUCAAAAUGAGUAUCUCGACCAUCAACCAGGAAGGCAGGGAGCAUCUUCUCUUUUACUAAAUGAAUCCUCCCAAUUUCGAUUUGCGAGAGACGGUUGUUCUUUUUCCACGAGAUUCACGAACUGCAGCUGAUGAACAUGGCGACUGCGUGAAAGAAUAGAAUAUAUUUUUCUGGCGGGAAAAUUCAAUAUGCGGGAGCAACGUAUUAAGCUGUGGUAUUU